CUGACAUCAGUGGAAAAGCUAAAAUGUCAUCCGAUUGUUACCCUACUCCACUGUUUAUAUUUUUAUAUUUACAUUUCAUUUUACAUACCGUAUCAAGUUCACCAAGUAUACAAAUAAAUAUUUUCAACACCUGUUGAAAUUAAUAAGACAUAUCAGGAUGAUCGUCAUCGGAAAUAUUUAUCACGAUUGAUUUUACUGCCAAAGGUUAAGAGAUUCAGUUAGUAAACAAAAAAAUCACAAGUUGCAGAGAUUAUUGAUGAAUGUAAAUCAAGAGAAUUAGUGAUUUAAAUUUACAUAUAAAAAUGUAUACUAAUAUGACAACAGUGGCGGUCUUACAACCUGGAGGAGUUUUUCAUCGAGCUUUAAUUUUCAUGUUUAAAUUGGCAUGGAAAUCACGAUUUCGAUUGCCCGUUCUUAUGGUCGCUGCGUUUGUCAUCAUGGAUAUAAGAAUGCAACUUGAAAUAGAUGUUCAUGUGAGAGAUGCUGACAAUAAUCAGAAUCCAUAGACUUCUUACUUUUAUUUAUAUUUAUUUUAUGUCAGUUAUAUUAUUCAUUUUCUACUAGACAUUAAAAGUUUUUUAAAAUAUAAAAGCUGUUUUGAAUUUGAUUUUCAAAAAUUUAGAUCAGAUCGCUUGAUGUUUCAAGAUUUGAUGAUACAAAGUGUGAUUAUAUAUAUUAUUAGUGAUAAGUUUAUGUGUGUAUAUAUGUAAACACUAUAUAUUUUUAGCCAAUUUUAGAAUUUUAAUUUGAAUGGUUUUUGUUGCAAUCGAAAUGAUAUUUAAAUCAGUUGACGUCCGACAUGAUUUUUUAUACUUUAUAAAACGAUUGUUGACUAUUACGUUUAUGUGAUUGGGUUAAAAAAGUUUUUUUAAAUUAAGGGCUUUCUCAGACGGUGUCCUCUGGUUUUUAAAAAUAUUCAUGACUCAACUGUUGAAAUUGUAUUAAAAUUUUAUUAAUUAAAGAAACAUUAAAACCCUAAUUGAAAAAGGACGAGUUGCAGUUUCACCGAGGUACAGAAUUUAAAAAAAAAUGAAAAUUGAUAUCAAUGGGAGUUAAAGGGAAUUUCGAAAGUAAAUUUCAGUAAAAUUUUCAUGUCAAUUUUAUAAUUAGAAUUUUAAGUUUUGUAAACGAAAAUUUACUUAGCGAAUUUCGUUUAACUCCCAAUUGAUAUCAACUGCAAGUCAUUUUUUUUUUAAUUCUGUAUCAGUGAAACUGCAACUCGUUGUCCUUUUUUCAAUUAAUGCAUUAAUUUUUUUUUAAUUAAUUAAUACAAUUGUGACAGUUGAGUCAUUGACUAUUUUAAAAAAGUAGGAGCAGGGCUGAAAAUUUCCUUAAGAUCAUUCUUAGACAAUAACCCUCACUUUUUAAAAUUUUCAAUGACUUUCAACUGUCAUAAGUGUAUCAAAAUUUUAUCAGUUAAUUAAAAUAAAAUUAAAACCUUAAUUAAAAAAAUGACAACAUCCAUAUGAUGUAGAUUGAAAAAAAAAUUACUUGCAGUUGUUGUCAAUUAGAAGCUAUAAAAAAUUUGUUGAAUAAAUUCAAGCAAAAUCGUCAUGUUAAGAUUGUAAUUCGAAAUUUCAAAUUUUGGAAACUAAAAUUGAUUUUAACUAAACAAUUUUUUAAAAAUUCUUUAUCCUGGAAAAAUUUUAAUGCUGACUUUUUUCAGUUAAAGCUCUAAUUUGUUUUAAUUAAUUCACGAAAUUUUAAUACAAUCAUCCCAGAUAGCAUUCAAGUCGGAAUGAUUGCUUUACUUAGUCUUUUUGAAGGCGUCCUUAAGAAGUCUUAUGAUGACUUCUUAAAGGUGUAAUUUUUAAGAAAUCUUAAUUAAGAGUUCUUGAAGACUCCAUAAAUAAGACAUCAGUUUUGUGACGUCUAAUGUAUUCUUUUUUUUAACUUCUUUGAAGUCAAAAUUAAGAGCUCCUUAAGACGUCAUGGUAAAUUCAAACUGAAGUCUUAUUUGUGAAGUCAGAAAAAAUAACUCUUUGAGAAUUCUUUUUAAAGGCGUCUUACUGAGUUCGCUAGGUGGCUCAUUCGACAUCUUGAGAACUUCUUAAAGACUUCUUUAAGAUGUUGAUAAGACGUCCAAAUCGUAAAUAGGAACCAGUGCUGUCAUCGUGGGAUAUUUUUACCCCUUCCCGUGGUGAAAUAGCAUGGAGUAUAAUGGCAGGAGGGGGUAAAAAUUUCCCACAAUCUAGCCGCACUGAUAGGAACUCAUUCAGAACUCAUAUCAUCGAGACGUCAUUUUGCUAUCUGGGAUAGUUAAAUAUUAUUGAGUAUUUGAAAAAAGUAGGGAGGGGCUGUCUGAGAAUGCCUUCAAACUCAUAGAAAAGAAAAUAUUAACGUCGUAACCAGAAUUUUUGAGCUCGAAAAAGCGGAAAACUUUUUAGCUGACACUUCAGUUCUUUUUUUUUACUCGACAAAUUAAUUUCAUUUUAGUAUAACUGUUUCAGGAGAAUAAUUCGAUUUUAUAUAAAAUUUUUCCAUACUAUUAGUGAUAAAUUUUUUUUUCGAUAAAAUAUUCGAUCAAAAAAUAAAUAAAGUUAAACAGAAAAUAAUUAUUUUACGUAUAAGAGAUUGAAUAAAUAUUAAAUUAAAAGUUUAAUUAUCAAGUAUUCAAAAUUAUUAUUACUACAUAUAUUGUAACUGUAAUUUACUUGUAAAAAUUUUUAUAAAUAACUAAAUGCUCAUUAAGAAAAGAAAAAAAACAGAUAUCAGUUGAGAAAUUUCAUCAAAUAUAAUACAAUGAAACCUUUUGUAUUUCUUAAUUAAAAUUUUUUUAAGGUUUCCACUUUGGUAUAUAUAUAAAAAGAAUUGUAAAUAUUUGCUCAUAAUUAUAAAUCAUUACCUUAGAGUGUUUGUUGUAAUAUUUAAUUUAUAUUAAAAUACUAUACUAUUAAUAUAACGAGUAAUUAAUAAUGUUUAUAAAUUCUAGUACUUAUUUUAUAUAUUUUUUUAUUUUAAAUGUUUUAAUUAUUAAAAUAUAUACUAGAGAAACUUUAACUUCUGAUGAAGAUACUGUUCUUCCGCCGAUGACAGUUAUGAGUGACUCGUUACGUGGAAAAUUGUCUGAAAGUCGGGCUCAAAGUCCUUGUAUUAUUGAAUAUCAAAUAACAAAACGAAAAAUAGGCGAAUGUGUAAAACUCACAGGAAGUAUACGCGGAUGUGUUUCCGGUUCAUUUGUCAAUCCAUUCCACCCUGAUUGCUUGUAAAAAAAAAUACCGUAAUCAGUUAUUAAUGCUCUUAUUAAAUUUAUAUUUAUAAAUUUAUACAUUUAUAAAAAAUUAUUAUCGACUUAAAAAAAAUAAAUAAAUAUUUGCCAUGUGAUACAAAGUCUAUUGAUUUAAAUAA